rnacentral:misc_RNA from 1 species
AAGAUUAGGAUGAACAAGGUUGUCAGAAAUAACCUGAGGGUUCGACUUGGUGAUGUUGUCUCUGUGCAUCAGUGUCCUGAUGUCAAAUAUGGCAAACGCGUACACAUUCUUCCCAUUGAUGACACCAUUGAAGGAGUCACUGGGAACCUUUUUGAUGCUUACUUGAAGCCCUAUUUUCUUGAAGCAUACAGACCAGUUAGGAAGGGUGAUCUUUUUCUGGUAAGGGGAGGCAUGAGAAGUGUUGAGUUCAAGGUUAUCGAGACUGAUCCCGCUGAAUACUGUGUUGUUGCCCCUGAUACUGAAAUAUUUUGUGAGGGUGAACCUGUGAUUAGGGAAGAUGAGAAUAGACUAGAUGAGGUUGGUUAUGACGAUGUUGGUGGUGUGCGUAAACAAAUGGCUCAGAUAAGGGAGCUUGUUGAGCUGCCACUAAGGCACCCACAACUCUUCAAAUCUAUUGGUGUCAAGCCUCCCAAAGGAAUUUUGUUGUAUGGACCUCCUGGAUCAGGAAAGACUUUAAUAGCCCGAGCUGUUGCAAAUGAGACUGGUGCGUUCUUUUUCUGCAUUAAUGGUCCAGAGAUCAUGUCUAAGUUGGCGGGAGAAAGUGAAAGUAAUCUCAGAAAAGCAUUUGAAG